UGCAAUAGCAAAGGUCACCAAGAGGUUGUUGCAACUGGAUUGGAUAGUCAAAAUUCGUCAUGUUUACAAAAAGGGUAAUAAGGUAGUAGACACACUAGCGACUCUUACUUUUUCAUGACACUAGGGGGAUGUUUGGUUCGACGGAAUGGCCAUUCCAUUCCGUCCUAUUCCACACGCUACAGUGACACGUUUGUUUGGUUGAAAUUUGACUGCCGAAUCACUAUUUCGUGGGGGAUCUAUUACACGUAAACACCGAUAUCCAUUCAGAGGGUCGGACUCUGAAUGCCUAUUCAAUGCCUCUCGUAAUAGUUUUUUUUUUCAGACGAAAAUCUCCUCCCACUUCCACUCAUCAUUCAGACGAAAAUCUUCUUGGGUUUUCCGUAAAAUGCAUAGAAGACUAUCUAUUUUUGGAUUUUGGGUGUGGCGGAUUUGUGUGUGGUGGAAAAUAUGGAGAAAUCGAUGUCAAAGGCGGAGCUUUCCAAAGAAAUGCGCACGUCUCCCACCGUGCAGCCCAACGAUUGUGGGAACGGCGAGGCUCCGAUCAAUUAUCAGUGAUUGUUGUUAGUCUUCUUCCCUUCGCCAUCAUCUCUGGUUUUUUUUUUUAAUAAACAAAAUCUCUGAAAUAUUGGAUCUGAAUUUCUAUCCUGCCAGGCUUUCAGUGAGUUUACCUUUUCUACCUCUGCCUUAAAAUUCAUUUAUACUUUCCUAAGCUACAAACAAGAAGUUGAACUUUGAUGAUCAAGAUCUUUCUUUUUCCAGUAGUCUAUGUUUUGGCUUUGUUGAAUUGAAUAUCCAAAGUCAUGAUCUUUAAUCGAUAAUCUGUUGAAUUGCCUGUCUGGGUAUGCUUUGUUUACAUAAAUCUGUUGAAUACCCUUUGUAUUCUUCUAUUGAUUUGGGUUUUUUUUGGUAAGUUUAAUUUUUUAUUUUGGUUUUUGUUUGUUUGUUUUGGGUUUGAAGUUCAACAGUAUUUCGUGUUUGUAAUGAAAAAUAUGUAUAGAUAUCAUUGUAGGCUAUGUUUCGUUUUUGCUAGUGUUAAGGGAGUUUUUAGGGCUAACCAUUCACGGGUAUCACGGGAAGGGAGAUUAAAGGUGGUGUUGCUGAAAUCCAGAAGGACAGAAACACUCCUCUUGUGCCAAAGGUUUCUCAACUUCCCAAUGAAAAAGAGACAGUUUAUGGAGCAUUGGACAAAUGGGUAGCUUGGGAGAUUGAGUUUCCAUUGAUUGCAGCUUCAAAAGCUUUACAAAUUUUCAAGAAGAGAGCCAAUGGUUGCGUGUUAUUCAAGUAUAUUCAGUCUAUUGGUAUUCUUGCUUUGUAUUUUCCAGCUUCUAAAACACAUUCAUUGAUGCAAGGAAGCUUUAUAUGUUCAAUAAUUUUUCAUUAAUAUAUAUUAUAUUAAAAUAGCCCUGUAUUAUCAUAUUUGAUUCUAUAGAAUACUCUCCGUCAGUAUUUUAAAGGAACCUUAAUGCUAUUAUUUGUGAA